rnacentral:misc_RNA from 1 species
GGAGAUUCCGGCAACUUCGGAAGAUCGCCGGCGACUUUUCCGAUCUUAUCAUAGGCCCACAGAUUCGCGCCAAAAUCCAUUCACCAUUACCCUCAGCAAAAUUCUCGGUGAGUUGCAACAUUUUUGGAGGAAAUAGAAUUUUUUGCUGAAUUUUCAAGGGUGCAUGCAAUCUGGGGGUGGAGCUCAGCAAGGUGGUGUCGCCGGCGCCGGUGGUGGACAUGGGCGGAACACGGCGGCAUCAGCCUCAGCUUCUCCAACAUCAUCUUCUUCUGCCUCUCAUAUGGGGUUGGAUCAGCAGCAGCUGCAUCAACAGCAUCAGCGGCAGUCAUUACAACAACAGUUACUUAGAAGGCCUGAAGGAAACGAAGCUAUUCUGGCCUUCCAGACUGGCAGUCCCCAUGGAAUUUUAGGUGGGGGUAAUUUUGUUGGACCUUCUGGAUCCAUGCAGCUGCCUCAGCAGUCGAGGAGGUAUAUUGAACAGCAUGAUUCUCCCACCAUUCGAGAGGAUGGACAGAAUAGGAGCCAGGGCUUUGAGCAACCGAUGUUGAGUCCUGUCCAACAGGCAUACCUGCAGUAUGCUUUCCAGGCAGCACAACAGAAGUCCGCUCUUG